UAAUAAACUCUUAGAGAAAUUAAUUAAUAAACGAAAGCAAAUUGAAAUAUCUUAGUAGCUUCAGGAAAAUAAAUCAAACGAGAUUCUACUAUUAGUGUGAAUGAAAGUAGAGUAGCCUAUACUACUGAAUAUAGUAUACUAAUAAGUAAAAUGGAUACAAAUCUGUUUAAAUAUUAAGGGGAACCUUCCUCUAAGGCUAAAUAUGAUACAUAAGCGACAGUGAAUAAGUACCGUGAGGGAAAGGUGGAAUUAGUAGUUUUAUAAGCAGUUCGAGCUAGUAAAGGCAAGAGCGUACCUUUUGCAUAAUGGGUCACCAAGUUAACAUUAGAUGCGAGCUAUUUUGCGUAGUUAAACCGAUGAUCAAAAAUGAAUUAGUGUCUAAAGUUAGACCCGAAGCUAGGUGAUCUUACUAUGGUCAGGAUUAUAAAAGUCCGAACGGGUUAUCGUUGCAAAGAUAUCCGAAGAACUGUGGUAAGUAUAGUGAAAGACAAUACUGACCUAGAUAGCUGGUUUUCUGCGAAACCUAUAAUAGUAGGCAAUUUAAGUAACAUCAUAGCAGGUACAGAACUUAAUCUCAGGCAAGAUGUCAAAAAUUUUUUAAUAAGUUGUAACAAAUAUAUUUAAAAAUCGACAUUUUCCUUUGUACAUAUAGGGGAGUCGUAGAGGCUUUACCUGUGAGUAUGUAGACUCGGAAUGGCAUAGAUGGAUCUUGAAUUAUCAGACAUAGAAUGAUAAGGUUGUAUGUCAAAAGGGAAACAGCCCAGAACAAGAGUUAAGGUUCCGAAAUUAUUAUUAAGUGAAAUUAAGAAAGUUUUUUAUUUAAGUCGACAAGGAUAUGGGCUUAGAAGUAGCCAUAAUUCAAAGAACUCGUAACAGAGCACUUGUUAAUUUUCUAAAGGCGUCUAUAAUUUAACGGAUCUAAAUAAUAUACCGACACCUUGUCCAUAAUUGAUUAUAAUAAAUAUAUUAUUGUCAUUACUGGGGUAGCAGAACAUUGAGUAAAUCUGCAGCAUUUUAUAUUUAUUUAAUAUAUGUGUGGUCUACAGCAUACUCAAGAGAUAAUGGUGACAUGAGUAACAAAAAAGAAGGGUAAGAAGGAAGAAGCAUAAAAUAAUGUUGUACGACUGUUUAAUUAAAACAAAGCACUUUGCAUAAAGACUUAAAGUCUAAGUAUAGAGUGUGAUUUCUGCCCGGUGCCGGCUGGUUAACGAAAAUAACUAACUUUUAAAUGUUUGGUACUGUAGGAACCCCCGGUUAAUGGCGGCCUUAACGUGAGGGUCCUAAGGUAGCGGAAUACCUUGACUGUUAAAUGCAGUCUUUGCAUGAAUGAUGUAACGAUACAACAGCUGUCUCUAUGAUUGACUCAGUGAAAUUGGCAUAGCAGUGCAGAUACUGCUUACCUCUAGUUAGACGAGAAGACCCUAUGCAGCUUUACUGUUACUAAUUAUUAGGCACGAUUGGGGACAGUUUUUAGUAUAUAAGGGAGUUGAUAAGAUAGAAAUGUAAUACCUUUAUUUGGGGAUCGUGCUGUAUGGGUUAAUUAACCAUCUUUGUAUUUUUUUUUUUAAUAGAAAGUGACCUUAAAUAGGAAAAAUUGCUAGGGGACAGUUUAUGCGGGGCACAGACCCCACAAAGAGUAAAUGGGAGUAUCCAACGAUGUUUUAAUCUGUUGUUUAUAUGGAUGUAUCACUAAAUAAAAUUUUUAAUGUAAUUAUUUGUUUGUAAUAGUAGAUAGCAGUGCUAUAUGCUAUCUUAUAUAUGUAGAGAUGUACAAGCUUAGGCAUAUUGUGCCUAAUAUAAAUACUUUUUUGUAUCUACUUACUACUUACUAAUUAAGUGUAAAAUUUACAAAACUAUGAUGAGAUGUUAUAUUUUUUUUUUAAAUAGGUAGGAUUUUGAAUUAAAGUGAAAUUAGUUGUAAUUGAAAUAUUACGAAAAAUUCUAAUAUUUUUUUUAGCUGUUACACAUUAGUGUGAAAUGGUUAUGUAUAAUACUUACAAAGUUUAAUGGCUAAAUCUUGCCUUACUGUUUGACAACCAACAAGUCUUACAGUCGCGUAAGCGGGGCAUAGGAUCACGAGACACCAAAAGGAAAGGUCUUGGGUUAUAGGAAAAGCUACGCUAGGGAUGUUUGUCCUUCAAUGUUUAUAUAAGAUUAAUCUAAAAAACAUUGUUAAAUAAAUUGGGUUAAUUUCAAGAAUUACUUAUAUUAUUUUUAAGUAAAUUUGAAGCGAAAUUUAUCUAGAUUAACCUUGUGCAGGCCUGCUUCGCAGGCCUAGCUGGGGUACGCUACAGAACAGGCUAAUUUGCGCAAGAGUGUGCAAAAUGAGUGCGCGGUUUGGCACCUCGAUGUCGGCUUAACUUAUCCUCAUGGAUGCAGAAACUAUGUAGGGUACGACUGUUCGUCGAUUAAAAAGUUACGUGAGCUGGGUACAUAGUCUGAGCAACAUAGUAAUAUGUUGAAUUCGUUAAUUAAAGUUUAAUAAUAGAGUUUACACUUUAAUUCAGAAGAUAACAUCUUGUAAAUACGUCGUGAGACAGUAUGGUUUCUAUCUUCUAGAGGGAAUUAGAAUAUAAUAAGGAAUAACCUAUGUACGAAAGGAACUUGGGAUAUUAAUAUAUUAAUAUUUAAAUAACAUAAUUAUUAAUCUCUGGUUUACCUGUUGUUUAUAUGUCUAAAUAUUAAAUUAUUAGUGUAUAAUAAAAAUUAUACAAGACUAUCCUACUUUCACUUGAGUAGUUAUAUAGUAUAGGCACGGCAGGAAAGCUAUGUUAGUCAAAGAUAAGUGCUGAAAGCAUCUAGGCACGAAGCUUACCUUAAGAUAUUUCUUAAAUAUACGUAAUAUAAUAUUACG
rnacentral:rRNA from 1 species